CUUGGUCAUUUAUUGACGAGUUGUAGGUCGGUACUUUAACGCGUACUUCUUCUACGGUUUGGCCCGUCCCAGACCAAAUUGAUCGCCAGUCUCGAUCGGCAUUCCAUUGGCGAAGUCAAUCUCCAUCAUUUUCUCGCUAUGGACUGGAUGUCCGUCCUCGUCACUUAACGCGGCUAUGAUCUUUCGACUCUUGGCGUCGAUUACUUCCCCAGUGGAAAGAUACGCGACCGCUCCGUCGAUUGAGAACGUGAUCCAGCCAGGCUGAUCGCGCAAUUCAAUGCUUGGGCCCUGCUGCGGCGGCGAGACGGUU
rnacentral:misc_RNA from 1 species